rnacentral:rRNA from 1 species
UUGGUUAAGUUAGAAAGGGCGCACGGUGGAUGCCUUGGCACUAGGAGCCGAAGAAGGACGGGACUAACACCGAUAUGCUUUGGGGAGCUGUACGUAAGCGUUGAUCCAGAGAUUUCCGAAUGGGGGAACCCACUAUCUUUAGUCGGAUAGUAUCCUUACGUGAAUACAUAGCGUGAGGAAGGCAGACCCAGGGAACUGAAACAUCUAAGUACCUGGAGGAAGAGAAAGAAAAAUCGAUUUCCUGAGUAGCGGCGAGCGAAACGGAAAGAGCCCAAACCAAGAAGCUUGCUUCUUGGGGUUGUAGGACACUCUAUACGGAGUUACAAAAGAAAGUUAUAAAUGAAGCGGUCUGGAAAGGCCCGCCAAAGACGGUAACAGCCCGGUAGUUGAAAUGGCUUUCCCUCCAGAGUGGAUCCUGAGUACGGCGGAACACGUGAAAUUCCGUCGGAAUCCGGGAGGACCAUCUCCCAAGGCUAAAUACUCCCUAGUGACCGAUAGUGAACCAGUACCGUGAGGGAAAGGUGAAAAGCACCCCGGAAGGGGAGUGAAACAGUUCCUGAAACCGUGUGCCUACAAGUAGUUAGAGCCCGUUAAUGGGUGAUAGCGUGCCUUUUGUAGAAUGAACCGGCGAGUUACGAUUUGUUGCAAGGUUAAGCGGAAAAAGCGGAGCCGUAGCGAAAGCGAGUCUGAAUAGGGCGCAUAAGUAACAGGUCGUAGACCCGAAACCAGGUGAUCUACCCAUGUCCAGGAUGAAGGUAAGGUAAUACUUACUGGAGGUCCGA